rnacentral:piRNA from 1 species
UUGAAUGGAGGAAUGACACUUAAUUGCUUU